GCCCCUAUAGCUCAGUCGGUAGAGCAGUUGCCUUUUAAGCAAACGGUCGUAGGUUCGAUCCCUACUGGGGGCA
rfam:Candidatus Yonathbacteria bacterium RIFCSPLOWO2_01_FTLL_47_33b rifcsplowo2_01_scaffold_32577, whole genome shotgun sequence.